GUGCUCACUCUGGCAGCACCUAUUCUAAAACCGGAAUGGUAGAGAGAAGAUUAGCAUGGACACUACACUAGAAUGACAUGCAAAUUCGUACAUAUUCUAUAGUUUAU
rnacentral:snRNA from 1 species